rnacentral:lncRNA from 1 species
UUCCUGUUGCGAAAGUUGUAUAAAAUUCUUUUCUAUUUUCUAGACUAUCUAGUUUAGUCAUAUUUAUAUGAUUUGUUAUUAUAUCUUCAUCUUUAAUUGUAUCUUUUAUUUCAUUAGUUUCAGUAUAUAAUUUAUUUGUUUUCUUGAUCAAGUCAGUAUAGGUAUCUGAAUUGCUAUCUUCGUCCGUAUUAAUAUCUGAAUUAUUUUCUAUUUUACCUAUUACUUCUACUACUAUUUUCUUAUCAUCUUUUUCUUCUUCUGAGCUUAUAUAUGUUGUUGUAUCUGAAUCUAAUCUAUUUUUAGAUACUUCAGGGUCAGAAUUUAUUGUUUUUUUUUUCUUUUUAAAU